GCCCGCGUAGCUCAGCCGGAUAGAGCGUUUGCCUCCUAAGCGAAAGGUCACCUGUUCAAAUCGGGUCGCGGGCGCCA
rnacentral:tRNA from 1 species